AUGCAGUCGUACGCGAAGGGGGCAACCCCCGGUAGCGUGGCAGACGGGUGAGUAACACGUGGGCAAUCUGCCCCGAGGUGGGGAAUAACUUUCCGAAAGGAAGGCUAAUACCGCAUGACACCGCGGAGUUCUCGGACUCUGCGAUCAAAGCUGGCCUCUGUUUACAAGCUAGCGCCACGGGAGGAGCCCGCGCCCCAUUAGCUAGUUGGUGAGGUAACGGCUCACCAAGGCAACGAUGGGUAGCCGGCCUGAGAGGGUGAUCGGCCACACUGGAACUGAGACACGGUCCAGACUCCUACGGGAGGCAGCAGUGAGGAAUAUUGCGCAAUGGGCGAAAGCCUGACGCAGCGACGCCGCGUGGAGGAUGAAGGUCUUCGGAUUGUAAACUCCUGUCGUGCGGGACGAAUGCCUCGGUCGCUAAUAUCGGCCGGGGUUGACGGUACCGCAGGAGGAAGCCCCGGCUAACUCCGUGCCAGCAGCCGCGGUAAUACGGAGGGGGCCAGCGUUGUUCGGAAUCAUUGGGCGUAAAGGGCGCGUAGGCGGCCGAUCAAGUCGAGCGUGAAAUCCCCCGGCUCAACCGGGGACCUGCGUCCGAUACUGCUCGGCUCGAGUCCCGGAGAGGGUAGUGGAAUUCCCAGUGUAGCGGUGAAAUGCGUAGAUACUGGGAGGAACACCGGUGGCGAAAGGCGGCUACCUGGACGGUACUGACGCUGAGGCGCGAGAGCUGGGGGAGCAAACAGGAUUAGAUACCCUGGUAGUCCCAGCUGUAAACGAUGGCACUUGGUGGUUGCGGGUAUCGACCCUGCAGUGCCGAGCUAACG
rnacentral:rRNA from 1 species